UGCUCUGUGGGAUCAGUGGCGAACGGGUGAGUAACACGUGAGCAACCUGCCCCUGACUCUGGGAUAAGCGCUGGAAACGGCGUCUAAUACUGGAUAUGUGACGUGACCGCAUGGUCUGCGUCUGGAAAGAAUUUCGGUUGGGGAUGGGCUCGCGGCCUAUCAGCUUGUUGGUGAGGUAAUGGCUCACCAAGGCGUCGACGGGUAGCCGGCCUGAGAGGGUGACCGGCCACACUGGGACUGAGACACGGCCCAGACUCCUACGGGAGGCAGCAGUGGGGAAUAUUGCACAAUGGGCGCAAGCCUGAUGCAGCAACGCCGCGUGAGGGACGACGGCCUUCGGGUUGUAAACCUCUUUUAGCAGGGAAGAAGCGAAAGUGACGGUACCUGCAGAAAAAGCGCCGGCUAACUACGUGCCAGCAGCCGCGGUAAUACGUAGGGCGCAAGCGUUAUCCGGAAUUAUUGGGCGUAAAGAGCUCGUAGGCGGUUUGUCGCGUCUGCUGUGAAAUCCGGAGGCUCAACCUCCGGCCUGCAGUGGGUACGGGCAGACUAGAGUGCGGUAGGGGAGAUUGGAAUUCCUGGUGUAGCGGUGGAAUGCGCAGAUAUCAGGAGGAACACCGAUGGCGAAGGCAGAUCUCUGGGCCGUAACUGACGCUGAGGAGCGAAAGGGUGGGGAGCAAACAGGCUUAGAUACCCUGGUAGUCCACCCCGUAAACGUUGGGAACUAGUUGUGGGGUCCAUUCCACGGAUUCCGUGACGCAGCUAACGCAUUAAGUUCCCCGCCUGGGGAGUACGGCCGCAAGGCUAAAACUCAAAGGAAUUGACGGGGACCCGCACAAGCGGCGGAGCAUGCGGAUUAAUUCGAUGCAACGCGAAGAACCUUACCAAGGCUUGACAUAUACGAGAACGGGCCAGAAAUGGUCAACUCUUUGGACACUCGUAAACAGGUGGUGCAUGGUUGUCGUCAGCUCGUGUCGUGAGAUGUUGGGUUAAGUCCCGCAACGAGCGCAACCCUCGUUCUAUGUUGCCAGCACGUAAUGGUGGGAACUCAUGGGAUACUGCCGGGGUCAACUCGGAGGAAGGUGGGGAUGACGUCAAAUCAUCAUGCCCCUUAUGUCUUGGGCUUCACGCAUGCUACAAUGGCCGGUACAAAGGGCUGCAAUACCGCGAGGUGGAGCGAAUCCCAAAAAGCCGGUCCCAGUUCGGAUUGAGGUCUGCAACUCGACCUCAUGAAGUCGGAGUCGCUAGUAAUCGCAGAUCAGCAACGCUGCGGUGAAUACGUUCCCGGGUCUUGUACACACCGCCCGUCAAGUCAUGAAAGUCGGUAACACCUGA
rnacentral:rRNA from 2 species